ensembl:lncRNA
GAGAGCAAUCAGCCUCGUAGAACUGCAAACAGCAUGUUGAAGCCAUGGGACUAUUUGACAUUGCCUAGGUAAGUUUCUGGACUUGAUCUCAAAUAUUAAGAAAUGCCCAUGGAAUGGAAUCUGGGAAUGGAAUGCUCUCAGGCAAGAAACAACUACAGCUGUCCCUCUGUAUCCACAGGGAUUGGUUCCAGGACCUCCCAGGGAUACCAAAAUCCAUGGACGUUCAAGUCCCUUGCAUAAAACAGCAAAGAAUUUGCAUAUGACCUACACACAUCCUCCCAUUUACUUUAAAUCAUCUCUAGAUUACUUAAAAAUACCCAAUAAAUGCUAUGUGAAUAGCUGCCAGCAAGUGGCAAUUCAAGCUUUGCUUUUUGGAAUUUUCUGGAAAAAAAUUUUUUUUUCAGAAUAUCUUUCAUUCACUGUUGGUUGAAUCCAUGGAUGCAGAACCCACAGAUAAGAAAGGUGACUGGAGAGGUCUUUUUCUGUACUCAAUAAAUGGUCUUCAUA